UUACGGUCAAAUCACGCUGAAACACCGGUUCUCGUACGAUCACCGAAGUUAAGCAGCGUAGAGCCAGGUCAGUACUUAGAUGGGGACCGCUUGGAAACACCUGGUACUGUAAG
rnacentral:rRNA from 1 species